rnacentral:lncRNA from 1 species
AGAGCAGAGAAGCAACGAAAAUACCUCCCUCACGAUCGAAGACCUGCUACCUUCUUCCUCAACAAUCGACCACCACCCGCUACCUAGAACACCAGAUUUCAUAACCAUUUGAACCCCCUCACCUCCCUCUUCAACCUCUUGUCAUCACCUGGCCACGGAGUUGCCCAAAAUAGCCCCAAUCACCACCCAAAAUCGCGCUAUUAGUCACGAUUUUCGCCAUAUUUCCACCGUCGUCGGCCACCGUUUCGAGCGCGGACCACCACCACUCCACUCCUCCCAACCAGGCGCAUCCAGUACCAACAUAUGUCACCUGCAAUUUUGUCCAGAUUCGAGCGAGAUUGUGAAAGUAGUCUUGUGUGGCAGAUUCGGUCCCAACAAAAUUGAUGAAAUUUUGUUGAUGCAAAUAAUCAAUUUUGCUUUCCAAACAUCAAGGUUGGUUUUUUGAAUGGGUUGGGUUUAGUUUUUG